CAAAGUUUCACACUGUCCUUCAGAACAUCGAUUCUGGGGCAGAGGAUAUAUUUUCUAGAUCGUAACAUUCGUCACGUAUCAAAAAGGCUGUGAGUGACUCCAAGAUGUCCUCAGGACAUGAAAUGCCCGAAGACUUCCCUGCAAAUCUUGGAGCUGUUGGUGAUGAGCAUGGUGAAAGGCUUCACCAGGACAUUGUGGUCAUGGAGAAAAGAUACCAGGGCAACUGGAAUCCAUCAAUGCUGGCAAAUUAUUGCUGGACAGUUAAGCGAGAAGCCUCAGACACUGAAUACAAAUGAAAAUCAUUAACUAAAACAUUUUAACUUAGUUGAACUAUUGCAAAGCAUCAGCACCAUUAUGCAAUUAAACACAUUAUAUUCAAUAAAAGUUAAUUUGUUGUUUCUCCAAA